AGUGAACGCUGGCGGUAGGCCUAACACAUGCAAGUCGAACGGCAGCACAGUAAGAGCUUGCUCUUACGGGUGGCGAGUGGCGGACGGGUGAGGAAUACAUUGGAAUCUACUUUUUCGUGGGGGAUAACGUAGGGAAACUUACGCUAAUACCGCAUACGACCUACGGGUGAAAGAAGGGGAUCUUCGGACCUUGCGCGAUUGAAUGAGCCGAUGUCGGAUUAGCUAGUUGGCGGGGUAAAGGCCCACCAAGGCGACGAGCCGUAACUGGUCUGAGAGGAUGAUCAGCCACACUGGAACUGAGACACGGUCCAGACUCCUACGGGAGGCAGCAGUGGGGAAUAUUGGACAAUGGGCGCAAGCCUGAUCCAGCCAUACCGCGUGGGUGAAGAAGGCCUUCGGGUUGUAAAGCCCUUUUGUUGGGAAAGAAAAGCAGCAGGUUAAUACCCCGCUGUUCUGACGGUACCCAAAGAAUAAGCACCGGCUAACUUCGUG
rnacentral:rRNA from 1 species